AACAAGGUUUCCGUAGGUGAACCUGCGGAAGGAUCAUUGUCGAGACCUGCAAAGCAGACCUGCGAACACGUUCCCAACACGCUUGGGUUCGCGCCGUCGGAUGCCUUGGCAUUGGCCGUCGCGUUCCCUUCCCGGCGACGCGCGCUCGCGCGAGUCGUUUGGGCUAACGAACAUCUCGGCGCGGAACGCGCCAAGGAAAACUAUCACGAGAAUGCUUGCUCUCGCGAGGCAUCGCUCGCGGUGCGUCGCGGGUUGCACGUGCGUCUCGAAUCACAGAACGACUCUCGGCAACGGAUAUCUCGGCUCUCGCAUCGAUGAAGAACGUAGCGAAAUGCGAUACUUGGUGUGAAUUGCAGAAUCCCGCGAACCAUCGAGUCUUUGAACGCAAGUUGCGCCCGAAGCCAUUAGGCCGAGGGCACGUCUGCCUGGGCGUCACGCAUCGCGUCGCCCCCUCCCGCCCCCUUUCCUCAGCGAAAGUGGGCGGAUUACAAGGGGGACGUACAUUGGCCUCCCGUGCACUCGUUGUGCGGCCGGCCUAAAUUUGAUUCUGCGUCGACGGACGUCACGACUUGUGGUGGUUGAAUCAAUCGCGUGCUGUCGUGCGGGACCUCGUUCGAUCGCGGACAUCAUUACAUUACUCACCCAACGGCCGCGCCGCGCGCCUUCGACUGCGACCCCAGGUCAGGCGGGACCACCCGCUGAGUUUAAGCAUAUCA
rnacentral:rRNA from 1 species